rnacentral:rRNA from 1 species
UGGGGAAUAUUGGACAAUGGGCGAAAGCCUGAUCCAGCAAUGCCGCGUGAGUGAUGAAGGCCCUAGGGUUGUAAAGCUCUUUUACCCGGGAUGAUAAUGACAGUACCGGGAGAAUAAGCCCCGGCUAACUCCGUGCCAGCAGCCGCGGUAAUACGGAGGGGGCUAGCGUUGUUCGGAAUUACUGGGCGUAAAGGGUUCGUAGGUGGCCAGCUAAGUCAGACGUGAAAUCCCUCAGCUCAACUGGGGAACUGCGUCUGAUACUGGUUGGCUUGAGUGCAGGAGAGGAACGCGGAAUUCCAGGUGUAGCGGUGAAAUGCGUAGAUAUCUGGAGGAACACCGGUGGCGAAGGCGGCGUUCUGGACUGUAACUGACACUGAGGAACGAAAGCCAGGGGAGCAAAC